UUAAUUAAACAUGUGCUUUCUCUUCUAAUUUCAGAUAACUGAAUUGUGUUGAGCACAGAAGGAUCUGAAAAAUAAAAAAAAUUCUUCUCUGAGAGAGCUUCAAACUAUGGAGAGCUUGUUAAUACUCUUUGCCAUAAUUCCUUCUAAUGACAACAGGAAGAGAAACAUUGCCACCAAUCUAUGGAGCAUACUCAAGAAGGUAAUCGUUCUGGAAUAA
rnacentral:lncRNA from 1 species